rnacentral:rRNA from 1 species
AACGAACGCUGGCGGCAGGCUUAACACAUGCAAGUCGAGCGCGUAGCAAUACGAGCGGCAGACGGGUGAGUAACGCGUGGGAAUCUACCCAUCAUUACGGAAUAACUCAGGGAAACUUGUGCUAAUACCGUAUACGACCGAGAGGUGAAAGAUUUAUCGGUGAUGGAUGAGCCCGCGUUGGAUUAGCUAGUUGGUGGGGUAAAGGCCUACCAAGGCGACGAUCCAUAGCUGGUCUGAGAGGAUGAUCAGCCACAUUGGGACCGAGACACGGCCCAAACUCCUACGGGAGGCAGCAGUGGGGAAUAUUGGACAAUGGGCGCAAGCUUGAUCCAGCCAUGCCGCGUGAGUGAUGAAGGCCUUAGGGUUGUAAAGCUCUUUCACCGGAGAAGAUAAUGACGGUAUCCGGAGAAGAAGCCCCGGCUAACUUCGUGCCAGCCGCCGCGGUAACAC